rnacentral:misc_RNA from 1 species
GCCCCUUCUCCUGCCCCAGCCCAGGCCUCCAGCUUUGCAAGGGCCUCUUCCCCGACCUCCUCGGCGUUGGCGUCCACAGCAGCGUCGAGCCGUCGACCUCUCUCCGUACGACCUUCUGGCUCCUGCACGUCUGGGCGUUUGAUUAGGUCCACCAUGAUCCACUGCCAUCAUUUUUUUAUAAAUAGAAAUAUUAAAAGUAGAUGCUUGCUUUCUGGUUAAUAUACAAUUAUUUGAGAUGAUUGUAGAAAGUUAGAAACACAUGGCAUUUGAGGUUGAGGAAGACGAUGCACAUCCUAGAGGGCGUUCAAAUGCAACUGUGACAGACGAACAAGGCGAUUGCCAUCGCAUUUGAAAGGGUGUCAUUAGAGCAUCAUCAAGUGACGUUGUUGGUAUGAGCACAAUGCCUAAAACACUGCUGAGGUGGUCACACAAAAUGGGAGGCGUGUGAAAUUAAAAGGAGGCAUUGAGAGCCCAUGGAGCCAUGGUGAACCUUAUGGAAAUGGUUUUAGUUGUAAUUAUUGCAUUAGUCGUAUCAAGGGCGGAGGUGCGACCCGUCUAAGAGAGCAUUUGGGAGGAUUGCCUGAAAAUGUGGCUGCAUGUAUUAAUGUUCCACUUAAUGUUAAGGCAAUAAUGACUGAUCAAGUGGCUGUUCGGAGAAUAAGGAGGCGGCAAAACAAUGACCUUAGACACUAUGUCGAGCGAGAGGUUAGAGAAUCAAAUAAAGGAUUAGGGACUUCGAGUAAAGCAAGAAUUCCUCUAGAUGAAGAAGGUCAAAUACAGAUGGCAUUGAGAGAGUCAUUGAGGGAAUAUGAUGAGGAGAGGGUCAUUGGUUGUUCUAGUGGUAGUAGGUCUGCAAGUUGUUCUGCUAAUCAACAAACUAGACUUGACAGGUUCUACCGAAGUCCAAGUGUUUCACAGGGUCCUUUUGACAUGGAUCUGGCACAUAGUAGGGCACAAGCACAGCCUCGGGUGGACAUCAUGCUUAGGUGCGGUAGCAGAGAUAAUCUAGGAAAAGCAUUGGCGAAGUGGUUUCACGCCAAUGAUAUUCCAGGAAGGAAAGCAGAUUGUCCAUAUUUUCGAUCAACCAUUAAAUUGGCACAAGAAUGUGGACAAGGGGUGCACAUCCCUAUUGGAAAGGAAUUAGAUGACAAAUUUUUGGAUAUGAACUAUGAAGAUAUGGAGGCUCACAUGACCAAAUUCAAGGAUGAUUGGAAGGAAUAUGGUGUUACUGUCAUGUGUGAUUCAUGGACAGGUAAAAUAUGAUGAAUUUUCAUAUGCUAACAUUUUCUUAUAUGGUGUUACUGUCAUGUGUGUUACUUAUAUUUAUAUACUUGAUGUUUUAGGUCCUACCAUGAUGUGCAUUAUUAAUUUAUGGUAUAUUGCAAUGGAAGGAUGUUUUUCCACAAGUCUAUAAAUGCAACUGGC